UGGUAGAAUUUAUCAUCAGAAAGGAUCUAUAAGGAGAUCGAGGCCUUGACCUUUGAAAAUUAUGAUGGAUUGAGACCUAUCUAGAGUCCAACUUAGACUCUGAUCGGUGUGCGAGCUCGGUGUUCACAACUCAUCGAUCAGACCCUAUCCAGCCUAGGGGUGCAAUCAAGCCAAGACGAGUUGAGUAGCUAGAAGCUCGAGCUC
rnacentral:lncRNA from 1 species